rnacentral:lncRNA from 1 species
AUGUUAAUAUUAUUUGUAGAAGUAAAUAUUAAUUGGUUCCAAAAUGUGUGUCAACCGGAAGAGAUUCGAGCAGAGUAUUUGCACGACGCUUAGCCAUGAUGGCGACCAUGGUACACAUUUCCUUGACUAGCUCCUACAACGGCUGGGACAGGGACUCCCUGAGGCUGGCGAAUAGGAGCAACCACCAAAGCAGGAACCACCACGGCUGCAGGACGAGCGUAGGACACAGCCGGACGAGGUGCAGCCACAGAAGGACGAGGUACAGCCACAGCAGGACGAGCGUAGGACUCAGCAGGACGAGGUGCAGCCAGAGCAGGACGAGGUGCAGCCCAAUAGGGUCGUGCACCAGCCAACCCUUGGUCUUGACCGUAAGCAGAACCAACGGACUGGGACACAGACUGUUGUCCUUGCGAAAUGACUGCCGCUGGAGCACCAGAAUGGAUUGGCACCUCCGAUUGCUGCUCAAUGGGCAAAAGAUUUGAUCCUUGGGCCAGGACGAAUAUGGCGCUGAAGAUUAC